rnacentral:misc_RNA from 1 species
AACAAGGCGUACCUGCGGACCUGCGGAAGGAUCAUUACUGAGUCACGUGCUCAAACAACCCUUCUGUGGACCUGAAAUAAAACCGUUGCCUCGGCGGGCGGUCCCCCCCAAACCAACCCCACGUGGUGGGUUAGGGGAGACCAGACAGUCCGGUACGCUUAAGGCGUCCGGCGCCAGCCGCUGGCCCCAAACAAUUAAACUCUAGUAAUCUUUACCUUCUGAGUUUCAAUAUUUAAAAAU